rnacentral:rRNA from 2 species
GGACUACAGGGGUAUCUAAUCCUGUUUGAUCCCCACGCUUUCGUGCCUCAGUGUCAAUAAUCGCUUAGUAAGCUGCCUCCGCUAUCGGUGUUCUAUGUCAUAUCUAAGCAUUUCACCGCUACAUGACAUAUUCCGCUUACCUCAACGAUAUUCAAGACUGAUAGUAUCAACGGCAGUUUCCGAGUUAAGCCCGGAGAUUUCACCACUGACUUACCAGCCCACCUACGCACCCUUUAAACCCAGUGAAUCCGGAUAACGCUUGCACCCUCCGUAUUACCGCGGCUGCUGGCAC